rnacentral:rRNA from 1 species
AACACCGGGAAGCUGGUGCUAACACCGCAUAAGACCACAGUGCUGCAUGGCAUUGAGGUAAAAAGGGAAACCUGCUUAUGGAGGGGCUCGCGUCCCAUUAGCUAGUUGGCGGGGUAACGGCCCGCCAAGGCCAUGAUGGGUAGCCGACCUGAGAGGGUGAACGGCCACACUGGAACUGAGAUACGGUCCAGACUCCUACGGGAGGCAGCAGUGGGGAAUAUUGGGCAAUGGGCGAAAGCCUGACCCAGCAACGCCGCGUGAGGGAAGAAGGUUUUCGGAUUGUAAACCUCUGUCCUUGGGGACGAAAUUUUGACGGUACCCAAGGAGGAAGCCCCGGCUAACUACGUGCCAGCAGCCGCGGUAAUACGUAGGGGGCGAGCGUUGUCCGGAAUUACUGGGCGUAAAGGGUGCGUAGGCGGUUUUUUAAGUCAGAUGUGAAAUCCCCGGGCUUAACCCGGGUAUUGCAUUUGAAACUGGGAAGCUAGAGUGCAGGAGAGGGAAGCGGAAUUCCUAGUGUAGCGGUGAAAUGCGUAGAUAUUACGAGGAACACCGGUGGCGAAGGCGGCUUUCUGGACUGCAACUGACGCUGAGGCACGAAAGCGUGGGUAGCAAACAGGAUUAGAUACCCUGGUAGUCCACGCCAUAACGAUG